GCCUGGGUGGCUCAGUCGGUUAAGCGUCCGACUUUGGCUCAGAUCGUGAUCUCGCUAUUCAUGGGUGUGAGUCCCACCUCGGGCU
rnacentral:tRNA from 1 species